rnacentral:rRNA from 1 species
UGGUAGUCCACGCNGUAAACGAUGAGUGCUAGGUGUUAGGCCCUUUCCGGGGCUUAGUGCCGGAGCUAACACAAUAAGCACUCCGCNUGGGGAGUACGACCGCAAGGUUGAAACUCAAAGGAAUUGACGGGGGCCCGCACAAGCGGUGGAGCAUGUGGUUUAAUUCGAAGCAACGCGAAGAGCCUUACCAGGUCUUGACAUCCCGAUGCUAUUCUUAGAGAUAGGAAGUUACUUCGGUACAUCGGAGACAGGUGGUGCAUGGUUGUCGUCAGCUCGUGUCGUGAGAUGUUGGGUUAAGUCCCGCAACGAGCGCAACCCUUAUUGUUAGUUGCCAUCAUUAAGUUGGGCACUCUAGCGAGACUGCCGGUAAUAAACCGGAGGAAGGUGGGGAUGACGUCAAAUCAUCAUGCCCCUUAUGACCUGGGCUACACACGUGCUACAAUGGUCGGUACAACGAGUUGCGAGCCGGUGACGGCAAGCUAAUCUCUGAAAGCCGAUCUCAGUUCGGAUUGGAGGCUGCAACUCGCCUCCAUGAAGUCGGAAUCGCUAGUAAUCGCGGAUCAGCACGCCGCGGUGAAUACGUUCCCGGGCCUUGUACACACCGCCCGUCACACCACGAGAGUUUGUAACACCCGAANUCG